AUAUCGUUCUACGACUUGCACGCAAUUCUUGCACGGCUUUCGGUAGUUUGCUAUUACUGUUUUUUAUUUAACAAAAAUUAAUGGAUUCUUCUUCUGAAGAAGCCGAUUAUGAUAUUGUCGUCAAUAACAAUGAGGUACAACCUUACAUGUUUGAGCCUUUGGCCAACGCGGAAGGUGGUCAUAGUAAUGACAAUUCUUCGUCAAUGGAAAGCGAAGAUGAAUACAUUCACAGAAAUGGAAGCAUUUUAUUGAUGCUUCAUUGUUUUUCCCAAAGUAGAAAGAAUGUUUUUAUCUUUUAGGUGCGAGUGUGGCUUUUGUGUGGUCAUGAGUACAGGACGGGAAAGUAUAUGUUGCCAAGAGGUAAACAACACUGAUCCUCUGAUACAUGGCGAUCAUAUUUGCAUCAAACAAGAGGAAGAGUUUGCCACAGUAUGUACAAACGAAGCUGUCUUAUAAACAGCUAUGGUCGUGUACACACAUGACAUUGGACCUAUGCCUGAGGGUGAAGAAAACGAAGCAUUACGCUACACGGCGUAUCGACAGUGGACGGCUUGGGUGCAUGGCAAGUUGGGAAAAAAGUACAGACUACCCAUACCUUCUUGUGCUGUGGACAAAAUCCGGAAAGCAUUUCCUUCGCCUUCUGGAGAAUACAAAGGAUUUGAAUAUGCUCAACACUACUGAAUGCGAGAUUUAUGUUGCUUAAUGGCUUCAGCUUUGCUGAUUUUUGACUUGUGGUGAGUCAAUGGGACAGGUAUUUCUUUCACUCCAGCGACAUCAAGAGCUUUGGAGAGUGUUGGAUUAAUGCGUCUGCAGUACAAAACUUCUUUCAUCAAGUCCUUAACAUAUCCUGAAAAACAAAUCAUUAUUUAUGUUGGCUUUGCAUUGCACUUUGAGAAAAGAAAAAAUGGGUAUGUUUUGGUGCAAAAAGAAUCACCACUCGGUGGGAACCUUCGAUGGAUGAAGUCUACUUCUGAUAACUGAGUUUUCCAAUAUCUCUCAUGAGAUACUUGGACUCAACAAUCGAAGACAGCUCAACAUAAGCUUUUGAACCUAAGAUCAGAAGCUCUAACAUAUCAUGUUCACAUUUUGGGAAUACAUC